GCCUGGUGUGUGGAUGGGAUUAAGGUGUCUCGCGCUCGGUGUGUCUCUGAAACUGGAGGUUUUAUCAUUUUUAUUAUGGGAACGUAGAAGAAAUGAAGACAGAUAUUUUUCAGUAGAUUAAAUACGUUUUAAAACUCGUAUUUUCCACGGAGAAUUUUACUAUUAAAACAUUUCCACUCGUGACAAAAGUCCUCAGGACACGGACCGACUUUCACACAGACCGAACUGUCCGUGUUUACAGGUGAUUCUGGGCAGAUGGUUCUGUAGGAACACGCGGCUCAGGUAAAGGUGGAGUGUAUCAUCCCUCAGCUGCUCAACUUGUGCAUUCUCUGUGACAUUAGUCUUCGGGUUGGUGGAUGGUCUGAUAUAAAUUGUAGUAAAGGUGGUGAUGUGAGAGAGACCAUGAGGCUCCUGACACUGGUUCUCAUACUGCACUCAUCACUCACAGCAGCCAGGAAGCUGCAAACCAUCGAGUUCAGCGAAAAGACUGAGCUCACCUGUGGCCAGGAAUUUACCAUGAGGAGUGAUGGUCUCUUGGCAGGCAGGAGCACUGAUGCACUACAGACUGUUAAAUGCAGACAAACUAGAUCAAGACCACUUAACUUAUUGAUGAGUCUGGCUGGGCCUGACACCCAACCCCAGGUCUCCAGUGUUCUGUAGCUAUGGUGAGG
rnacentral:lncRNA from 1 species